GUUUAAUGUAACGUAGCUCCUCCCUCACUCCUCGCUCUCGUCUAAAAUUGUCACAACCGCAACCAGGAUGGCUCUGGCCCUAAAGGCAAACUCGAUGACGGAUAGCA